rnacentral:rRNA from 1 species
CCUACGGGAGGCAGCAGUGGGGAAUAUUCGGCAAUGGGCGCAAGCCUGACCCAGCAACGCCGCGUGAAGGAAGAAGGCUUUCGGGUUGUAAACUUCUUUUGACAGGGAAGAGUAGAAGACGGUACCUGUCGAAUAAGCCACGGCUAACUACGUGCCAGCAGCCGGGUUAAUACGUAGGUGGCAAGCGUUGUCCGGAUGUAAUGGGGGGAAAGGGCGUGUUGCCGGGUUGACAAGUCAGAUGUGAAAUCCUGCGGCUUAACGGAGGAAUUGCAAUUGAACAUGUUGUUAUUGAGGAUAGGAGAGGCAGGAGGAAUUCCUAGUGUAGCGGUGAAAUGCGGAGAUAUUAGGAGGAACACCAGUGGCGAAGGCGGUCUGCUGGACAGCAACUGACGGUGAGGCGCGAAAGCGUGGGGAGCAAACGGGAUUAGAUACCCCAGUAGUC